UAAGACCUGGCCUAGAGCUCCCAGACCUGGGCUCGCAGGGGGCUCCGGGAGGGGGCUAUUUAGUGGCUGAGGCGGCGUGGACUGCCCUCGUCUUCCUGGCAGCGACGUGCAAGAAGGAGGGGCAAAAGGAGGGCUGGACUCGGGCACGAAAGGAUCUGGAGCGCCGGCUGCACGAAGCAGGCAGCACCUCACAGCGUGCAGAACUUCCCUGAACCCAUGUCCCCUGCAUCGGAAACAUGGAGCCUUAACCACCAGAACACCAGGGAAUUCCUGACCAGCAUCCUUAGAAGAGGAAGGGAUCCUCACAAACACAGUGGAAGAGGCCACAUGAAGAUGGAGGCAGAAGUUGGAGUGAUGCAGUCACAUAGCAAGGGACAUCUGGAAACACCAGACGCUGGCUGAGGCCAAGAAUGGACUCUCCCCAAAAGGCUACCUUGACUUUGGCCUGAUGAUACUGCUUAUGAAUUUCUGACCUCCGGAACUGUGAGAAAACAAAUUUCUAUAGGUUU